GCUGAAGGUCGGAGCUUGCUCUUUCCGGAUGAGUUGCGAACGGGUGAGUAACGCGUAGGUAACCUGCCUGGUAGCGGGGGAUAACUAUUGGAAACGAUAGCUAAUACCGCAUAACAGUAGAUAUUGCAUGACAUUUACUUGAAAGGUGCAAAUGCACCACUACCAGAUGGACCUGCGUUGUAUUAGCUAGUUGGUGAGGUAACGGCUCACCAAGGCGACGAUACAUAGCCGACCUGAGAGGGUGAUCGGCCACACUGGGACUGAGACACGGCCCAGACUCCUACGGGGGGCAGCAGUAGGGAAUCUUCGGCAAUGGACGGAAGUCUGACCGAGCAACGCCGCGUGAGUGAAGAAGGUUUUCGGAUCGUAAAGCUCUGAUGUAAGAGAAGAACGAGUGUGAGAGUGGAAAGUUCACACUGUGACGGUAUCUUACCAGAAAGGGACGGCUAACUACGUGC
rnacentral:rRNA from 1 species